GUGCUAGUGAUUUGGAAAAGAAGUUAAGACAAUGAUUUAGGAUCCUUCUACCUCUACUUUUUAGUCCCCAUGUCCUAUGUAAUCAUAUGAUCCUUCCCAGUGAUGGUGAACUGAGGCCGUAAUAAGAGACAACAAGGAAACACACUCUGAGACUUACCGGGUAAAGGGUGGAAUUUAUCUAGCUUACCUGGCAGUUGAUAAGACCUAUCUUGUAAACUUUACAUGCAAAACAAUAGAACAGUUUGGUUAACCACGAGAAAUUUAUGGAGUUAAGAAGCCAGGGGAACACAAACCUAGUGAUCGUCUUGUAUUGAUUACAACUCACAUGCACUCAAGAUUUGGUUACUACUUAUGAUACUACAACCCCUCCCCCCA
rnacentral:lncRNA from 1 species